GCUGAAUCAAUGGAAAUACCUCCCAGAACACAGACAAAGGAGUACAGAUAGCAUCAGAAGAAUCAUGUAUCGAAAAAAUGGAACCACAUACGUAAUCCCGCAAAAGCACAUAUCUAGUUGGCAUGCAUAAAGGAGGAAGAUGGCGGGCAUCCAUUACCUGAUAAACCCAGCCAUCAUGCGUAAGCCCAUGAAAAGGGUCAAUCCCAACCAAACACCAGGAAGACCAAGAAGUCUAGGAGCACAAAGCAGAAAUCCAGAUGAUAUUGCCCCCACCAACAUCAUGGAGUGAGCUGCAUAAGCGAAGUCUGAAACACCAUAAUGGAGGCCAUCAAAGAUAAACGCAAGAGCAU
rnacentral:misc_RNA from 1 species